rnacentral:rRNA from 1 species
CGAACGGGUGAGUAACGCGUGAGGAACCUGCCUCAAAGAGGGGGACAACAGUUGGAAACGACUGCUAAUACCGCAUAAGCCCACGGCUCGGCAUCGAGCAGAGGGAAAAGGAGCAAUCCGCUUUGAGAUGGCCUCGCGUCCGAUUAGCUAGUUGGUGAGGUAACGGCCCACCAAGGCGACGAUCGGUAGCCGGACUGGGAGGUUGACCGGCCACAUUGGGACUGAGACACGGCCCAA